rnacentral:rRNA from 1 species
UACGUAUGGUGCAAGCGUUAUCCGGAUUUACUGGGCGUAAAGGGAGCGCAGGCGGCGCGCCAAGUCUGAUGUGAAACCCCGGGGCUCAACCCCGGGCAUGCAUUGGAAACUGGCGGGCUGGAGUGCCGGAGAGGUAAGCGGAAUUCCUAGUGUAGCGGUGAAAUGCGUAGAUAUUAGGAGGAACACCAGUGGCGAAGGCGGCUUACUGGACGGCAACUGACGCUGAGGCCCGAAAGCGUGGGGAGCAAACAGG